UACGUAGGUGGCAAGCGUUGUCCGGAAUUAUUGGGCGUAAAGGGAGCGCAGGUGGGAAUGUAAGUCAAUCUUAAAAGUGCGGGGCUCAACCCCGUGAUGGGAUAGAAACUACAUUUCUUGAGUGCAGGAGAGGAAAGUGGAAUUCCUAGUGUAGCGGUGAAAUGCGUAGAUAUUAGGAGGAACACCAGUGGCGAAGGCGACUUUCUGGACUGUUACUGACACUGAGGCUCGAAAGCUAGGGGAGCGAGCGGG
rnacentral:rRNA from 1 species